ACUGAUUCGUUUCUUCCUUUUGCAUACCAAUUUUUCUUUUUCCUUAUUUUCUCCUUCGUUCUCUCCUCUUUAUUCCAUCCCUUUGGUCUAUACAAUAGUCGUUCCCCACUUUCAUCAGCUUCUUUUCGUAGGAGAAAGAAAAUAAGAAAAAAGAAAAAUUGGUAUGCAAAAGGAGGAAACGAAUCAGU